rnacentral:rRNA from 1 species
UAAUACGUAGGUGGCGAGCGUUGUCCGGAAUUACUGGGCGUAAAGGGCGCGCAGGCGGGUUUUUAAGUCAGAUGUGUAAUCUACAGGCUCAACCUGUAGUUUGCAUCUGAUACUGGAAAUCUUGAGGGUAGGAGAGGACAGUGGAAUUCCUAGUGUAGCGGUGAAAUGCGUAGAUAUUAGGAGGAACACCAGUGGCGAAGGCGGCUGUCUGGCCUACAACUGACGCUGAGGCGCGAAAGCGUGGGUAGCGAACAGGAUUAGAUACCCUGGUAGUCCACGCCGUAAACGAUGGGUACUAGGUGUAGGAGGUAUCGACCCCUUCUGUGCCGGAGUUAACACAAUAAGUACCCCGCCUGGGGACUACGGCCGCAAGGCUAAAACUCAAAGGAAUUGACGGGGGCCCGCACAAGCGGUGGAGCAUGUGGUUUAAUUCGACGCAACGCGAAGAACCUUACCAGGGCUUGACAUCCUCUGAUGUCCAUAGAGAUAUGGAGUUCGAUCUUCGGAUUGACAGAGAGACAGGUGGUGCAUGGUUGUCGUCAGCUCGUGUCGUGAGAUGUUGGGUUAAGUCCCGCAACGAGCGCAACCCUUAUUCUUAGUUGCCAGCAUUAAGUUGGGCACUCUAAGGAGACUGCCGGUGACAAACCGGAGGAAGGUGGGGAUGACGUCAAAUCAUUAUGCCCUUUAUGUCCUGGGCUACACACGUGCUACAAUGGCCUGUACAGAGGGUAGCGAAGCUGUGAAGUGGAGCCAAUCCCAAAAAGCAGGUCUCAGUUCGGAUUGUAGGCUGCAACUCGCCUACAUGAAGUCGGAAUCGCUAGUAAUCGCGAAUCAGCAUGUCGCGGUGAAUACGUUCCCGGGCCUUGUACACACCGCCCGUCACACCACGAAAGUUGACAACACCCGAAGCCGGUGUACUAACCGUAAGGAAGAAGCCGUCGAAGGUGGGGCCGAUGAUUGGGGUG